GUGUCAGCAGCCGCGGUAAUACGUAGGGGGCGAGCGUUGUCCGGAGUUACUGGGCGUAAAGGGCGCGUAGGCGGAUGCUUAAGUGGUCAGUGAAAGCCCCCGGCUCAACCGGGGAGGGUCUGGCCAGACUGGGCGUCUCGAGGACAGCAGAGGAGAGUGGAAUUGCUGGUGGAGCGGUGGAAUGCGUAGAGAUCAGCAGGAACACCCGUGGCGAAGGCGGCUCUCUGGGCUUGUCCUGACGCUGAGGCGCGAAAGCUGGGGGAGCAAACGGGAUUAGAAACCCCCGUAGUCC
rnacentral:rRNA from 1 species